GUCAAAGUGAAGUUGAAUUGUAGACUCGUUUUCUCAAAAGAAAAAUAAAUUAAAUUAAAUUAAUAACAAAAAAAGUUACUCCGUUCAACGUCUGUUAUACCAAAAUAAGCUGUGUGUUGUAAUCUGCCGAAUUUCUCAAACAAGCCGUACUUCUUGGCUCCAGUGGCAGCCACAAAUUCGUUUCCAAUUCCAAAUCGAUUGUGGCGAAACUGACAUACGCCUCACCGAUUAGACGUUCUUUUCGUAAACGUUCGCAACCGUAUAUUCGUACACGCAGUCCCAUAUUAUUAACAUCCUCCGGAUUGACUCGAUGUAACAGGAAACUCUCCAUGUAUUGUGGAUUCUCGCCGGAGCGAAUUUUAGUCUUAUGCUUUUGCUUCUUAUUUGGCAACAUAAGAAGACGGACCUGAAAACAUGAUUUUGUUUAAAAAACUAACGACCGUGACGCGCAUGAAAGCACCAUUUGCGAUGUACGUAAAGAAAGAAUAGAAACAUCAAAGCGACGACGCCAAAAAGCGCACCCAAUACUGUCGUUAACUCAACGGUUCCUUAACGGUUCGAUAGAAGAAGGGAAUUUAAGAAACACCAUAAAUAACUGUGUACAAAUGAAACUGGCAUAUUUAAUUAAACAACAACAAUAAAAAAUAAAAUUAAUGCGUUUAAA